AGUGAACGCUGGCGGUAGGCCUAACACAUGCAAGUCGAACGGCAGCACAGGAGAGCUUGCUCUCUGGGUGGCGAGUGGCGGACGGGUGAGGAAUACAUCGGAAUCUACUCUGUCGUGGGGGAUAACGUAGGGAAACUUACGCUAAUACCGCAUACGACCUACGGGUGAAAGCAGGGGAUCUUCGGAACUUGCGCGAUUGAAUGAGUCGAUGUCGGAUUAGCUAGUUGGCGGGGUAAAGGCCCACCAAGGCGACGAUCCGUAGCUGGUCUGAGAGGAUGAUCAGCCACACUGGAACUGAGACACGGUCCAGACUCCUACGGGAGGCAGCAGUGGGGAAUAUUGGACAAUGGGCGCAAGCCUGAUCCAGCCAUACCGCGUGGGUGAAGAAGGCCUUCGGGUUGUAAAGCCCUUUUGUUGGGAAAGAAAUCCAGCUGGCUAAUACCCGGUUGGGAUGACGGUACCCAAAGAAUAAGCACCGGCUAACUUCGUGCCAGCAGCCGCCGUAA
rnacentral:rRNA from 1 species